CUUAAUUAAGGCUGGAAGGAAGAAUGCUGCCAGACAGGAGAAAUGGUGAAAAAUAUUCAGCGUGAUGGAGGCGGGAGAGUGUGAAAGUGAGGUGAGAGUUGUGAGAGAGACGGAGAGAAGGUGAGAGGAAGAGAGAAAGAAACAGAAGCAAGUGCUGAAGAAGAAGAAGAAGAAGAAGAAGAAGAAGAAGAAUUUUCAAGACAAAUGUGUUUACACCAACUACUCAUUCGACUUUGUUGAUUGUGUUUUUACUAUUCACUGCUCUUUAGAAUUGCAUUUAUUUGACUAUGAUAUUUGCAUAUGCCUUUUGCACAGUACUGUAGGUCAUACAGAUCCUGUCAAACAUGCUGUUUCUUUUUAUCCCGAAGUGGCCUUGAUGGUAGAAGUAAAGUAGCUAAGUAGUUUAGCUUUGUGGUAUCAUUGUGUGUUCCACAGUUGCCUUAAAGUCAUCGCAUUUGGUGAAUAUAUUGGACUAAUUGCAAUAUUGGUAGCUCCAAUCGUUUGAGUGUUUCUUAGAACACAGGUAAUUGCUUAAACUAGGAGAAUGAACUAAUUAUCUGCUCACUGUUUUCCCAGCAACAGUGAGUAAUUUGGAAGCAAUUGACCUCCUGCAGUUCAGUGACAAAUGAAAAUAUGUAGGCCAGUUCACUAAUGACCCAGACUAACAACCUGGCUAAAGCCUUUACUUCUUCUACACUGACUCUUCCUUUAUGUCUAAUUUGCCACUUAUACAAUUCAGUAUGAAGUGUUACUUAGGCCUAUUUCUAUUUGUGGUAUAGAUGGGGUUUAAGAAAAAUGAUAAAAGUGAUGAUAAUCAAAUGUCAUUAUAAUCUUUAUACUGGUUUAGAAGAGUAAAUGUGAGUAUGUUGAAAGGAUGUUCAAUGUGAACAAUGUCCUGGUAUUUACUCAAACAACCCUUUAAGGUUACAGCAACAGUAUUCGGGCACAAGUCUGCCAUAUCCAUGUGAAAUUUACAUUUACGCCAUUUGGCAGACACCCUUAUACAGAGUGACAUACAUUGCAGUGCUCGAAUACAGUGCUUCAAAUUCUCUAUCUGUAAUAUAUAGUCCACUAUAGCCAUGGUCAUAAACUUAUUUAUUAUUGGAAAGUGCAAGACUUGUAAUGUGUCCGUGCUAAUAUUUAAAUGUGUAUAAUAUUCAGGUGAUAUUACAGGAAGAUGCCGUAACUGCUCUGUUAAUUUCACAUUCUUAUGUUAACUGUAGUGUUAUUG